UACAGAGGGUGCGAGCGUUGUUCGGAAUACUGGGCGUAAAGCGCGCGCAGGCGGCCUUUUAAGUCUGACGGUGAAAUGCCGGGGCUCAACCCCGUGCCCGCCGCGGAUACUGGGAGGCUGGAGACGAGUAGAGGCAAGCGGAAUUCCGGGGUGUAGCGGUGGAAUGCGUAGAGAUCCGGAAGAACACCGGAGGCGAAGGCGGCUUGCUGGGCUCGGUCUGACGCUGAGGCGCGAAAGCGUGGGGAGCGAA
rnacentral:rRNA from 1 species